rnacentral:rRNA from 1 species
UACAGAGGGUGCAAGCGUUGUUCGGAAUUAUUGGGCGUAAAGCGCGUGUAGGCGGCUUUGCAAGUCGGGUGUGAAAGCCCUCGGCUCAACCGAGGAAGUGCGCCCCGAAACUGCAGAGCUUGAGUACCGGAGAGGAUGGCGGAAUUCCCCAAGUAGAGGUGAAAUUCGUAGAUAUGGGGAGGAACACCGGUGGCGAAGGCGGCCAUCUGGACGGAUACUGACGCUGAGACGCGAAAGCGUGGGGAGCAAACAGG